GAUGAACGCUAGCGGCAGGCUUAACACAUGCAAGUCGAGGGGUAGGAGAAGCUUGCUUUUCUGAGACCGGCGCACGGGUGCGUAACGCGUAUGCAAUCUACCUUUCACAGAGGGAUAGCCCAGAGAAAUUUGGAUUAAUACCUCAUAGUAUAAUUGAAUGGCAUCAUUUAAUUAUUAAAGAUUUAUCGGUGAAAGAUGAGCAUGCGUCCCAUUAGCUAGUUGGUAUGGUAACGGCAUACCAAGGCAACGAUGGGUAGGGGUCCUGAGAGGGAGAUCCCCCACACUGGUACUGAGACACGGACCAGACUCCUACGGGAGGCAGCAGUGAGGAAUAUUGGACAAUGGGCGCAAGCCUGAUCCAGCCAUGCCGCGUGCAGGAUGACGGUCCUAUGGAUUGUAAACUGCUUUUAUACAGGAAGAAACACUCCCUCGUGAGGGAGCUUGACGGUACUGUAAGAAUAAGGAUCGGCUAACUCCGUGCCAGCAGCCGCGGUAAUACGGAGGAUCCAAGCGUUAUCCGGAAUCAUUGGGUUUAAAGGGUCCGUAGGCGGUCAGGUAAGCCAGUGGUGAAAGCCCAUCGCUCAACGGUGGAACGGCCAUUGAUACUGUCUGACUUGAAUUAUUAGGAAGUAACUAGAAUAUGUAGUGUAGCGGUGAAAUGCUUAGAGAUUACAUGGAAUACCAAUUGCGAAGGCAGGUUACUACUAAUUGAUUGACGCUGAUGGACGAAAGCGUGGGUAGCGAACAGGAUUAGAUACCCUGGUAGUCCACGCCGUAAACGAUGGAUACUAGCUGUUGGGAGCAAUCUCAGUGGCUAAGCGAAAGUGAUAAGUAUCCCACCUGGGGAGUACGAACGCAAGUUUGAAACUCAAAGGAAUUGACGGGGGCCCGCACAAGCGGUGGAGCAUGUGGUUUAAUUCGAUGAUACGCGAGGAACCUUACCAAGGCUUAAAUGUAGAUUGACCGUUUGGAAACAGAACUUCGCA
rnacentral:rRNA from 1 species